rnacentral:rRNA from 1 species
CCUACGGGAGGCUGCAGUGGGGAAUAUUGGACAAUGGGCGAAAGCCUGAUCCAGCCAUGCCGCGUGUGUGAAGAAGGCCUUCGGGUUGUAAAGCACUUUCAGUGGGGAAGAAAGCCUUAGGGCUAAUACCCUCGAGGAAGGACAUCACCCACAGAAGAAGCACCGGCUAACUCCGUGCCAGCAGCCGCGGUAAUACGGAGGGUGCGAGCGUUAAUCGGAAUUACUGGGCGUAAAGCGCGCGUAGGCGGUCUGAUAAGCCGGUUGUGAAAGCCCCGGGCUCAACCUGGGAACGGCAUCCGGAACUGUCAGGCUAGAGUGCAGGAGAGGAAGGUAGAAUUCCCGGUGUAGCGGUGAAAUGCGUAGAGAUCGGGAGGAAUACCAGUGGCGAAGGCGGUCUUCUGGACUGACACUGACGCUGAGGUGCGAAAGCGUGGGUAGCAAACAGGAUUAGAUACCCGGGUAGUC